AUGGCUCAACCCAUUGUACGCAUCCAAAACUGUCAGACUUGAGUGCAGGAGAGGAGAGUGGAAUUCCAUGUGUAGCGGUGAAAUGCGUAGAUAUAUGGAGGAACACCAGUGGCGAAGGCGGCUCUCUGGCCUGUAACUGACGCUGAGGCUCGAAAGCGUGGGGAGCGAACAGGAUUAGAUACCCUGGUAGUCCACGCCGUAAACGAUGAGUGCUAAGUGUUGGAGGGUUUCCACCCUUCAGUGCUGCAGCAAACGCAUUAAGCACUCCGCCUGGGGAGUACGACCGCAAGGUUGAAACUCAAAGGAAUUGACGGGGGCCCGCACAAGCGGUGGAGCAUGUGGUUUAAUUCGAAGCAACGCGAAGAACCUUACCAGGUCUUGACAUCCUUCUGAGCGCACUAGAGAUAGUGUUUCUCUUCGGAGCAGAAGUGACAGGUGGUGCAUGGUUGUCGUCAGCUCGUGUCGUGAGAUGUUGGGUUAAGUCCCGCAACGAGCGCAACCCUUAUGUUUAGUUACCAUCAUUUAGUUGGGGACUCUAGACAGACUGCCGGUGACAAACCGGAGGAAGGUGGGGAAGACGUCAAAUCAUCAUGCCCCUUAUGACCUGGGCUACACACGUGCUACAAUGGGGAGUACAACGACCAGCGAACUAGUGAUAGUAAGCGAAUCUCUGAAAGCUCCUCUCAGUUCGGAUUGUAGGCUGCAACUCGCCUACAUGAAGCCGGAAUCGCUAGUAAUCGCGGAUCAGCACGCCGCGGUGAAUACGUUCCCGGGCCUUGUACACACCGCCCGUCACACCACGAGAGUUUGUAACACCCGAAGUCGGUGAGGUAACCAAUUGGAGCCAGCCGCCG
rnacentral:rRNA from 1 species